AACGAACGCUGGCGGCAUGCCUAACACAUGCCAGUCGAACGAGACCUUCGGGUCUAGUGGCGCACGGGUGCGUAACGCGUGGGAACCUGCCCUUAGGUUCGGAAUAACUCCCCGAAAGGGGUGCUAAUACCGGAUAAUUUCUUCGGACCAAAGAUUUAUCGCCUUUGGAUGGGCCCGCGUUGGUUUAGCUAGUUGGUAGGGUAAAAGCCUACCAAGGCGACGAUCCAUGGCUGGUCUGAGAGGAUGAUCAGCCACACUGGGACUGAGACACGGCCCAGACUCCUACGGGAGGCAGCAGUGGGGAAUAUUGGACGAUGGGCGAAAGCCUGAUCCAGCAAUGCCGCGUGAGUGAUGAAGGCCUUAGGGUUGUAAAGCUCGUUUACCCGGGAUGAUAAUGACAGUACCGGGAGAAUAAGCGCCGGCUAACUCCGUG
rnacentral:rRNA from 1 species